UUGAAAAUUUAGCAGUACCGAGAACUCUCAAAUUAGACUGGCAAACCAACUGCAAUUCUGGGACUAUUUUCAUUUUCGUUCAGUAAGACAUUAAAUGGGUGGAAAAAUACGUGCGAUCUCAAUGUAUGUUGUCUAGUUUCACAAGACUAUUCCAUAUAAGCCUGCAGCUAUGAAGUAUAAGAAUCUUAUGGCAAGAGCCUUGUAUGAUAAUGUCCCAGAGUGCGCAGAGGAGCUGGCCUUCCGCAAAGGAGACAUUUUGACAGUGAUAGAACAGAACACUGAAGGGCUGGAAGGAUGGUGGCUCUGCUCUUUACAUGGCCGACAAGGCAUUGUUCCAGGCAACCGGGUGAAACUUUUGAUAGGCCCAGUACAGGAUAGUCCGUCUAACCAGGACACAUCCAAUUCAAGAUCAAUGCAUCAUGCCUAUAACCAGCAGAAAGUCUACCAAAUGCCAAGCUCACAGGCUUCAACUUGGGACUCGGUAUACCAGGUGCCACCUUCCCAUCUGAAUCAGGGCAUCUACCAGGUACCUACUGGCCAUGGUCUACAGGAGCAAGAUGUUUACCAAGUCCCACCAUCUGUGCAGAGAAGCUUGGGUGGUACUGAUGGUUCACCUUUCAACAGCAAGGUAGUAACUCCAGUCAGGACAGGACAAGGUUAUGUUUAUGAGUUCCCUUCAAAAUACCAGAAAGAUAUCUACGAUACCCCUCCAGUUCGUCCUUCCCAAGGGAUAUAUGACGUUCCCCCUGCAUCAGUUAAGGGGCCUGUGCAUCCAGUCCCAAUGGGAGAGGCAAAAGCUCAAGGGGUGUAUGAUAUACCUCCUAUAAAAGGGAUCUAUGAUGUUCCUGCAUCUGCAUGCAAAGAGGAUACAGGGCUGAGGGAAAAUUUGCUGGAUUUCCCUUCUUCAGUGAACCAUAAUGCAAGACUAGAAGGAGUGUAUGACAUCCCUCCUCCCACUACCAAAGAACUUAGCAAGAAAUUUACCUCUGACGUCCCUCUACCUAAUGAUUUAUUAUCAUGCAAACAUAGCCUAUAUGACAUUCCAGUGAGCCAUCAAAAUCAAUUUCUUGGUCAGCAGAUUGCUCCUCAGAAGGAUGUAUACGAUACCCCUCGUGGAGUUCAAUUUCCUGGACAGCAGUCGGGAUUCAGCAAAAGUCUAAAUCCAGAGGGAAGGGAAGGUGUGUAUGAUGUGCCACCACAGACUACACAAGACACUAAAGGAUUGAAAGAUGUGACAGAUGGGAUAAAUAGAUUGUCUUUCUCCAGUACGGGCAGCACUAGGAGUAACAUGUCUACAUCUUCCACAACUUCAAAGGAGUCUUCUUUUUCAGCCUCAACUUCUCAGGACAAACGAUUAAUACUAGAUCCAGACACAGCCAUAGAGAGACUUUAUUGGCUUCAGCAGACAGUGGAGACUGUGGUCUCUAAUCUCAUGGCCUUUGUUAACACAGACUGGCGGUCUUAUGGGUACAUGGAGAAAAAUAUCAAUGAAAUCCACACUGCCGUGGAGAAAGUAGAGCAGUCAUUGGUGGAGUAUCUUCAGUUUGCAAAAGGAGCAACAGCCAAUGCUUCCUGUCUCUCAGAAAUCAAUCUCCAUAACAAAAUGAGAAGGGAGCUGCAAAGAUUGGAGGAUUCUCACCAGAUCUUAACCCAGACCAGUCAUGACCUGAAUAGCUACAGCUGGUCAUUGAACAUCUUGGCGGUCAACAAAUCCCAAAACAAAUGUGAUGAUCUAGACCGAUUUGUUAUGGUGGCAAGGACAGUCCCAGAUGAUGCCAAGCAAUUGACCACCACUAUCAGCAUCAAUGCAGAGAUGCUAUUCAAACAGGUAUCAAGCAGUUCACGUUUAAAGAAUGUUUCAGAGAACAUUAUGAACACAACUGACUAUGCAUACAACAGCCCCCAGAAUCAGUUGUUACACCACAGAGAGAAAACUCAGGACCACGGCAGUUCUUUGCCCCCAUUUCUGAGUAAAGACCAGCAUCCCCCUGGUAUCACUAAUGAGGGCUCUGAGAAGAGCUGGAUGGAUGAUUAUGAUUACGUUCACCUACAGGGAAAAGAGGAGUUUGAAAGACAACAGAAAGAGCUUCUAGAAAAAGAAAAUAUCAUCAAGCAGAACAAGAUGCAGCUGGAGCAUCAUCAGAUCAAUCAGUUCCAGCAACUGGAGCAAGAGAUCACAAAGCCUGUGGAGAAUGACAUUUCAAAAUGGAAGCCGCCUCAGAGUCUGCAAACUGCAAGCAGCACUGUGGGCUCUCAAGACCGAGAGCUGCUCUUCUUUUAUUCUGACCAGUGCGAGACUCAUUUUGUGUCUCUCCUAAAUGCCACUGAUGCCUUUUUUAACUGUGUCAGUGCUGCUCAGCCACCAAGGAUGUUCGUCGCUCACAGCAAGUUUGUCAUUUUAAGCGCUCAUAAACUGGUGUUCAUCGGGGACACACUCACAAGGCAAGUGACUACUCAGGAUAUCCGCAGCAAAGUGAUGAACUCCAGCAACCAGCUGUGUGAAUUGCUAAAGAACAUUGUUAUGGCAACCAAGAUGGCUGCUUUGUAUUAUCCCAACCCAGCUGCCCUGCAGGAGAUGGUCGACCGAGUAACAGAACUGUCUCAUCGCGCACAGCUGUUUAAACGCUCUCUGGUACAGAUGGCAUCAUUCUGAAACAAACAAAAUGGAAUCCAAUCAAUGGACAGUAAAAAUGAUUUUAAAAAACUGGAAAUAUGUCCUAGUUUAUACCUAGGGACUUACUCAGAGUUGCUGAAUGUCCCUAAAUCUUGCUGACAUCAGUGGAUUCUGAAGGUACACAACAUCUCCCAAGAUCAGGCUUAAAGAAAAUGCAUGGCAUCAUAAUUCCCCAUGAAAAGGCUUAAUUUGCCAUCCAUUUUGGAACAUCUGAUUAAAACAUCUGUAAUUUUAGAGGAGAAAAUAGCACUUAUCUCUAUGACAAAUUCUUAUGAAUCAUUUGCACUUUUGCAGCUCUGAGCUUCACUCAGAUUUUGGACUUUUUCCAAAUUUUCCUUCCCGACCUACGGACACACCAUGGGUCUCCUGGGCUACAUAAUCACCAAAGCAACACCCUGUAUUUAAAGGGGUAAUUCCAUAUGUAGUGGACACAACAAUGACUUAACCACAGGUCACAUUACAUGACCACUCCUAACUGUGGAGUAGUGGCAAUCAGGCUCCAGGGAAUGAGGUCCAGGUGAUGCUCAGUGGACUUCUGAUUUAAAACAAAAAUAUUGUUACCCAAGUUUCCUUGUGAUAAUUCAGGCUACCAUCCCAAGUCUUUAUGUAUUUCUGAGUGUUUGCAUAAGAGACCAGCCUGGUGGUAAAUACAAAAUCACACCAUGUAGAAUACCUAGUCAGGAGGCACUUAAGUAAAGUCUUUCUUCACAAAAGGAUGUCUGGUAUUUUUGUUCCAGCCUAUGUCUAAACACGUUCUCCAGUGCAUGCCUCAUUGCAGUGCAUUUGUUUAUCUUGGAUAACAGAACUGCUUAACCAGCAAAUGAAGUUAUGCUUUCCUAAUACAUUGUCUCAGAGUGAUGAUUGCUCAUCACUGAGAGUUACCAUAAUGUUGUUUCCAGAGGGCUCCCAUUAAAGCCAGUGGGAGUUCAGAGGGACUUCAGCAGCAACAGAAUCAUACCCAGCACUUGCAUCAGAUAUAAUAUUGAAAGCUCUUCUCCGUUUUACAAGAGGAGAGGAAUAAUUAUCCCAUUGUAAACAAAAUAGGAUUGCCAAAAGAUACCAAAGAAUCCACUUGAACCUGUUUUGUAUUUGUGUUAUUUGGGAUUUUUCUAUUUUUUUCCAUUGUAAUAUUUUUAGAAAGUGACAAAGUGUUUUAAACUUAGCCAUCAUGUCAAUCACUUUUGAGUUUUCAAAAGGGGGAUUCCUUUUAUGGCAAACUUAUAUUAUUAUUUACUUGUUACCUUGUAGAGAGUAUUUUUAAAAUCAUUAAAUAUACAAAGGCUUUUUUUUUAA